rnacentral:misc_RNA from 1 species
AAACUGCGAUAAGUAGUGUGAAUUGCAUUUAGUGAAUCAUCGAAUCUUUGAACGCACCCUGCACUCACUGGUAUUCCGGUGAGUACGCCUGUUUCAGUAUCAUUGAAAACACACAAUCAAAACAUUUUCUUUGGUUUGAUUGGCUUUGGGUCUAUCAAAAAGUUUGGCUUGUUUCUUACAAGCCAAGCGGCCUGAAAUAUAUUGUCUGGCUAAUUGCAUCGUUGAUGAUCGCUAUUAGACUUUGGCUUUUUUAAAUGAACUGGAGGUUGAUUAACCAGUUUUGGCUUUAGUCAAAUGGUCAUUGUAAAAAAAAUCUCGAUCUUGGCUAGGUGUUUAUAGCCGAAAAUUUUUUUUUGGCUAUAACCGAAACCAAUAUAAUCACAUUUAGUUAUCGAUCUGAAAUCAGGUGGGACUACCCGCUGAACUUAAGC